ensembl:rRNA 5S_rRNA 5S ribosomal RNA
AUAUAUAGCCAUAUCACCCUGCAGCCCAAGACUGGUUGCCCACUGAAGCUAAGCAGGGCUGAGCCUGGUCAGUACCUGGAUGGGAGACCUCUUGGGAAAACUAGGUUGCUGUUGGAA